rnacentral:rRNA from 1 species
AGCGGCGGACGGGUGAGUAACGCGUAGGCAACCUGCCCUUCACACAGGGAUAGCCUCGGGAAACCGGGAUUAAUACCUGAUAACACAUUGAGAUUGCAUAUUCUUAAUGCCAAAGAUUUAUCGGUGAGGGAUGGGCCUGCGUCUGAUUAGCUAGUUGGUGAGGUAACGGCCCACCAAGGCAACGAUCAGUAGCCGACCUGAGAGGGUGAUCGGCCACAUUGGAACUGAGACACGGUCCAGACUCCUGCGGGAGGCAGCAGUGGGGAAUAUUGCACAAUGGGGGAAACCCUGAUGCAGCGACGCCGCGUGAGUGAAGAAGUAUUUCGGUAUGUAAAGCUCUAUCAGCAGGAAAGAAAAUGACGGUACCUGACUAAGAAGCCCCGGCUAACUACGUGCCAGCAGCCGCGGUAAUACGUAGGGGGCAAGCGUUAUCCGGAUUUACUGGGUGUAAAGGGAGCGUAGACGGUGAGCUAAGUCUGAAGUGAAAUAUGGGGGCUCAACUCUCCGAACUGCUUUGGAAACUGGUGCACUUGAGUGCAGAGGGGUAAGCGGAAUUCCUAGUGUAGCGGUGAAAUGCGUAGAUAUUAGGAGGAACACCGGAGGCGAAGGCGCUUACUGGACUGUAACUGACGUGAGGCUCGAAGCGUGGGGAGUAAACAGGAUAGAUACCCUGGUAGUUCCACGCGGUAAACGAUGAUCACUAGUGUGGCAUCCAUAGGUGUCGGUGCCGCAGCUAACGCAAUAAGUGAUCCACCUUGGGGAGUACGUUCGCAAGAAUGAAACUCCAAAGGAAUUGACGGGGACCCGCACAAGCCGGUGGAGCAUGUGGUUUAAUUCGAAGCAACGCUGAAGAACCUUACCCGGCCUUGAGAUCCGGCUGAAUACAGGGUAAUGCCUGUAGCCUUCGGGCAGCCGAGACAGGUGGUGCAUGGUUGUCGUCGAGCUCGUGUCGUGAGAUGUUGGGUUAAGUCCCGCAACGAGCGCAACCCUUGUCAUUAGUAGCCAGCAUUUCGGAUGGGCACUCUAAUGAGACUGCCGGGGAUAACCCGGAGGAAGGUGGGGAUGACGUCAAAUCAUCAUGCCCCUUAUGGCCAGGGCUACACACGUGCUACAAUGGCGUAAACAAAGAGAAGCGAACCUGCGAGGGCAAGCAAACCUCAAAAAUAACGUCCCAGUUCGGAUUGCAGUCUGCAACUCGACUGCAUGAAGCUGGAAUCGCUAGUAAUCGCGGAUCAGCAUGCCGCGGUGAAUACGUUCCCGGGUCUUGUACACACCGCCCGUCACACCAUGGGAGUCGAUAAUGCCCGAAGUCAGUGACCUAACCGCAAGGGAGGAGCUGCCGAAGGCAGGAUUGA